rnacentral:rRNA from 1 species
GGGUUGUGAGGUUAAGCGACUAAGCGUACACGGUGGAUGCCCUGGCAGUCAGAGGCGAUGAAGGACGUGCUAAUCUGCGAUAAGCGUCGGUAAGGUGAUAUGAACCGUUAUAACCGGCGAUUUCCGAAUGGGGAAACCCAGUGUGUUUCGACACACUAUCAUUAACUGAAUCCAUAGGUUAAUGAGGCGAACCGGGGGAACUGAAACAUCUAAGUACCCCGAGGAAAAGAAAUCAACCGAGAUUCCCCCAGUAGCGGCGAGCGAACGGGGAGCAGCCCAGAGCCUGAAUCAGUGUGUGUGUUAGUGGAAGCGUCUGGAAAGGCGCGCGAUACAGGGUGACAGCCCCGUACACAAAAAUGCACAUGCUGUGAGCUCGAUGAGUAGGGCGGGACACGUGGUAUCCUGUCUGAAUAUGGGGGGACCAUCCUCCAAGGCUAAAUACUCCUGACUGACCGAUAGUGAACCAGUACCGUGAGGGAAAGGCGAAAAGAACCCCGGCGAGGGGAGUGAAAAAGAACCUGAAACCGUGUACGUACAAGCAGUGGGAGCACGCUUAGGCGUGUGACUGCGUACCUUUUGUAUAAUGGGUCAGCGACUUAUAUUCUGUAGCAAGGUUAACCGAAUAGGGGAGCCGAAGGGAAACCGAGUCUUAACUGGGCGUUAAGUUGCAGGGUAUAGACCCGAAACCCGGUGAUCUAGCCAUGGGCAGGUUGAAGGUUGGGUAACACUAACUGGAGGACCGAACCGACUAAUGUUGAAAAAUUAGCGGAUGACUUGUGGCUGGGGGUGAAAGGCCAAUCAAACCGGGAGAUAGCUGGUUCUCCCCGAAAGCUAUUUAGGUAGCGCCUCGUGAAUUCAUCUCCGGGGGUAGAGCACUGUUUCGGCAAGGGGGUCAUCCCGACUUACCAACCCGAUGCAAACUGCGAAUACCGGAGAAUGUUAUCACGGGAGACACACGGCGGGUGCUAACGUCCGUCGUGAAGAGGGAAACAACCCAGACCGCCAGCUAAGGUCCCAAAGUCAUGGUUAAGUGGGAAACGAUGUGGGAAGGCCCAGACAGCCAGGAUGUUGGCUUAGAAGCAGCCAUCAUUUAAAGAAAGCGUAAUAGCUCACUGGUCGAGUCGGCCUGCGCGGAAGAUGUAACGGGGCUAAACCAUGCACCGAAGCUGCGGCAGCGACGCUUAUGCGUUGUUGGGUAGGGGAGCGUUCUGUAAGCCUGCGAAGGUGUGCUGUGAGGCAUGCUGGAGGUAUCAGAAGUGCGAAUGCUGACAUAAGUAACGAUAAAGCGGGUGAAAAGCCCGCUCGCCGGAAGACCAAGGGUUCCUGUCCAACGUUAAUCGGGGCAGGGUGAGUCGACCCCUAAGGCGAGGCCGAAAGGCGUAGUCGAUGGGAAACAGGUUAAUAUUCCUGUACUUGGUGUUACUGCGAAGGGGGGACGGAGAAGGCUAUGUUGGCCGGGCGACGGUUGUCCCGGUUUAAGCGUGUAGGCUGGUUUUCCAGGCAAAUCCGGAAAAUCAAGGCUGAGGCGUGAUGACGAGGCACUACGGUGCUGAAGCAACAAAUGCCCUGCUUCCAGGAAAAGCCUCUAAGCAUCAGGUAACAUCAAAUCGUACCCCAAACCGACACAGGUGGUCAGGUAGAGAAUACCAAGGCGCUUGAGAGAACUCGGGUGAAGGAACUAGGCAAAAUGGUGCCGUAACUUCGGGAGAAGGCACGCUGAUAUGUAGGUGAGGUCCCUCGCGGAUGGAGCUGAAAUCAGUCGAAGAUACCAGCUGGCUGCAACUGUUUAUUAAAAACACAGCACUGUGCAAACACGAAAGUGGACGUAUACGGUGUGACGCCUGCCCGGUGCCGGAAGGUUAAUUGAUGGGGUUAGCGCAAGCGAAGCUCUUGAUCGAAGCCCCGGUAAACGGCGGCCGUAACUAUAACGGUCCUAAGGUAGCGAAAUUCCUUGUCGGGUAAGUUCCGACCUGCACGAAUGGCGUAAUGAUGGCCAGGCUGUCUCCACCCGAGACUCAGUGAAAUUGAACUCGCUGUGAAGAUGCAGUGUACCCGCGGCAAGACGGAAAGACCCCGUGAACCUUUACUAUAGCUUGACACUGAACAUUGAGCCUUGAUGUGUAGGAUAGGUGGGAGGCUUAGAAGUGUGGACGCCAGUCUGCAUGGAGCCGACCUUGAAAUACCACCCUUUAAUGUUUGAUGUUCUAACGUUGACCCGUAAUCCGGGUUGCGGACAGUGUCUGGUGGGUAGUUUGACUGGGGCGGUCUCCUCCUAAAGAGUAACGGAGGAGCACGAAGGUUGGCUAAUCCUGGUCGGACAUCAGGAGGUUAGUGCAAUGGCAUAAGCCAGCUUGACUGCGAGCGUGACGGCGCGAGCAGGUGCGAAAGCAGGUCAUAGUGAUCCGGUGGUUCUGAAUGGAAGGGCCAUCGCUCAACGGAUAAAAGGUACUCCGGGGAUAACAGGCUGAUACCGCCCAAGAGUUCAUAUCGACGGCGGUGUUUGGCACCUCGAUGUCGGCUCAUCACAUCCUGGGGCUGAAGUAGGUCCCAAGGGUAUGGCUGUUCGCCAUUUAAAGUGGUACGCGAGCUGGGUUUAGAACGUCGUGAGACAGUUCGGUCCCUAUCUGCCGUGGGCGCUGGAGAACUGAGGGGGGCUGCUCCUAGUACGAGAGGACCGGAGUGGACGCAUCACUGGUGUUCGGGUUGUCAUGCCAAUGGCACUGCCCGGUAGCUAAAUGCGGAAGAGAUAAGUGCUGAAAGCAUCUAAGCACGAAACUUGCCCCGAGAUGAGUUCUCCCUGACCCUUUAAGGGUCCUGAAGGAACGUUGAAGACGACGACGUUGAUAGGCCGGGUGUGUAAGCGCAGCGAUGCGUUGAGCUAACCGGUACUAAUGAACCGUGAGGCUUAACCUUACAACGCCGAAGGUGUUU